rnacentral:rRNA from 1 species
UGAGUAGUAUUAGUUAUGUUCUUGAAACUUAAAGAAUUUGGCGGUAUUUCAUUCUGUYCARAGGAAUCUGCCUCGUUAUCGAUAAUCCGCGUUGGACCUUGCUUGAUUUAAUUUGUUUGUAUACCGCCGUUAUAAUGAGUAUCCUUGUAGGGCUUCUUAAUUUUCUUAUUCUAUGAUUGKGGUUUAUUUCAGGUCAAGGUGCAGCUUAUGGUCAAGUGUUUGGUGGAUUACAUUUAUUAAUUUAUUAUCGGAUCACUUGUUGUAAUUCUGGUGUGAAGUUGGAUUUGAUUGUAACUUAAUUAAAGUUUGUUUUGGUGAUUUAUGUUUUGAAAUAUGCACACAUCSCCCGU